rnacentral:rRNA from 1 species
GACGAACGCUGGCGGCGUGCUUAACACAUGCAAGUCGAACGGAAAGGCCCUGCUUUUGUGGGGUGCUCGAGUGGCGAACGGGUGAGUAACACGUGAGUAACCUGCCCUUGACUUUGGGAUAACUUCAGGAAACUGGGGCUAAUACCGGAUAGGAGCUCCUGCUGCAUGGUGGGGGUUGGAAAGUUUCGGCGGUUGGGGAUGGACUCGCGGCUUAUCAGCUUGUUGGUGGGGUAGUGGCUUACCAAGGCUUUGACGGGUAGCCGGCCUGAGAGGGUGACCGGCCACAUUGGGACUGAGAUACGGCCCAGCCUCCUACGGGAGGCAGCAGUGGGGAAUAUUGCACAAUGGGCGGAAGCCUGAUGCAGCAACGCCGCGUGCGGGAUGACGGCCUUCGGGUUGUAAACCGCUUUCGCCUGUGACGAAGCGUGUGUGACGGUAAUGGGUAAAGAAGCACCGGCUAACUACGUG